GACGAACGCUGGCGGCGUGCUUAACACAUGCAAGUCGAACGGAAAGGCCCUGCUUUUGUGGGGUGCUCGAUUGGCGAACGGGUGAGUAACACGUGAGUAACCUGCCCUUGACUUUGGGAUAACUUCAGGAAACUGGGGCUAAUACCGGAUAGGAGCUCCUGCUGCAUGGUGGGGGUUGGAAAGUUUCGGCGGUUGGGGAUGGACUCGCGGCUUAUCAGCUUGUUGGUGGGGUAGUGGCUUACCAAGGCUUUGACGGGUAGCCGGCCUGAGAGGGUGACCGGCCACAUUGGGACUGAGAUACGGCCCAGACUCCUACGGGAGGCAGCAGUGGGGAAUAUUGCACAAUGGGCGGAAGCCUGAUGCAGCAACGCCGCGUGCGGGAUGACGGCCUUCGGGUUGUAAACCGCUUUCGCCUGUGACGAAGCGUGAGUGACGGUAAUGAGUAAAGAAGCACCGGCUAACUACGUG
rnacentral:rRNA from 1 species